rnacentral:rRNA from 1 species
AAUCAACGCUGGCGGCGUGCCUCAGACAUGCAAGUCGAACGAUUAAAGCUCUCUUCGGAGAGUGUAUAGAGUGGCGCACGGGUGAGUAACACGUAAGUAAUCUACCCUCGAGUGGGGAAUAACGUCCGGAAACGGACGCUAAUACCGCAUAAUGCAGCGGCACCGCAAGGUGACAGUUGUUAAAGGAGAAAUUCGCUUGAGGAGGAGCUUGCGGCAGAUUAGCUGUUGGUAAGGUAACGGCUUACCAAGGCUACGAUCUGUAACCGGUCUUAGAGGACGGUCGGUCACACUGACACUGAAUAACGGGUCAGACUCCUACGGGAGGCAGCAGUCGGGAAUUUUGGGCAAUGGGCGAAAGCCUGACCCAGCAACGCCGCGUGAAGGAUGAAGUAUUUCGGUAUGUAAACUUCGAAAGAAUAGGAAGAAUAAAUGACGGUACUAUUUAUAAGGUCCGGCUAACUACGUGCCAGCAGCCGCAGUAAC